UCAUGAGGCACAGUCUCUCACAGAACCUUACAGACUGAGCCAGCCUAGUUAGCCAGCAGGCCCCCACAAUCUACCUGUCCCCAGCCCACAGCCUUUGGAUCAUCGGCACCCGUGGCUUUUUAACAUGGGUGCUGGGAUCUGAACUCAAGUUCUCAGCGAUCACUUUACAAAAUGGACCAUCUCUCCAGCCCAACACUUCCUUUUAAUCCUUUUCAACAUGCCAAGACUUAUUACAAGCACUCCUAAAGCAUACUAAGAACAUGUGAAGAACAUCUUUCCUCUACAGUUACUUUCCAUUUCAACACAGAGCCUUUUUUUUUUAAAUCUUUUGUUCCAAACUUUGAAAGAUUUCCCAUUUGAGUGGAUGUUGGUACCCAUUGCGCGAAGCUCUUCAGACUUUAUAUUCUCCUGCAUCAGCUCCAUCUCAAACCCGCUCAUUCUCCUUUUGCCUUUGUUCUGUCUUUCCUGAAAUCUGUUUUCCUAAUUAAACCACCAAAUCAGUCAUAACUGUAAUCUUCAGAAGGUUCCAAGAACAUAGUUCAUUUCCUCACCCUUGAUCCCAUCUCUGAUUUAUAGCUGUCUAUGUAGUAUUAAUUAAGACAGAUUUCAUAAUGAAAUUCCUCUCAUUAUGAUACCAGUGCUCCUGGUAAACUCGAAUCUUGCUAAGGGCUCUUUUCUUAAGCACGAUCCCGCAUCCGUGAGGAAAAAACAUAAUUAGGGCCUCUAAUGGAAAGUUUUUAGAUGCGCACUCACUACGUAAUUUUCAAGCACUGUUUUGAAAUGUUUCGUGCUUUCUUUUCCCUCCCCCGGGUUCUGAGAAUGUUUCCCUGUGCUGUGCUGUGGCACUCUGGGGAGGACAUGUGACAUGAUUGCCAAGUUCAGGGCUGGGAUCUUUGUGACUCACUCAGCCCAGAAUUUGCAUGGCUAUGGAAAAAGCUUCGGGAUGACUGCUCAAUAAAGUGAUCCUAACUGCAUACUUAUCCCCAUCCCCACUUCAGCUCAGAAUGGCCAAGAGGUUGGGAAGGGGGCAUGAGGGUCCUUCCUCAUUUCUAGAACCACAGGCAGAUGUAGAGAGAGCUUUCAAAUGGCCAGCACUAUUCUACAACCUAGCUUUUACUCCUGUGUAAAGUGGGACCAAGAUGAUUUUUGAUGUGGGUCGUAAGAUCUCCAAAAGGCCAGAAAUAGUGUCUGGCAAGAGCACUGGGAUCCAGUUUCCUGUCCUAGUUGGGAAAGUAGCUUGGUGCUUCUGAGAGUUCUCUAAGGUCCUUGAAGAAAAUGACCAUGAGUCACUGACUGGGGAGAAAGCUGGAAUUUGGAAGCCCAAUAAGGCAGAACCUGUCUUCAGUGAAACCUCCAGUAUUUGUUACUAACGACUCCCGAUCACUGUUUUUAAUAUCACUUUGUCCUCAGUGUUUGCCAAGUCCUGGCAGGUAUGUAACAGAAAAACAUCUUUCUUCCUUCCCCAGCUCAUAAGCCCUGAGCCUUAAAACGAACCAAGCUUAAAUGUAUUUUCUUUUUAUAGAUAAUAAAACUGAGGUCAUGAAAGAUAAAAUGAUGUUUAAGGAUCAUCUAACAUGGUAGGUGAGUGACUAUAGAUGAUUAUUUCCAAAUGGCUAUUUUUUUUACAUCAAAGACAUGACAAACAUAAUAAAAUUACCCAAAACUAUUUUCAUUCUCUUCCCUGUAUUAGUUUGCUGUGUGGUUGUAACAAAUGACCACAGAAUUGAGGGCUCAAAGCAAUGCCGAUUUGUCAUCUGUUGAGAAUGAGUGAUGGCACUGGUAGGCCAUCAAGCCUCUGUCACUUCCACUGGCUCCACUUUACCACAUGUUCCUGACUUACUUUGGCAUUCUGUCCACAGCAAGCACAAGCUCUUUGUCCUGUUCCAAGUUCCAUUACUCCACACAUUGCACUUCCCAGGAUUACAACAAGAUGGGGAAGGGCAGGGCCAUACAGCCCGAGCAGAGUGUUAGACCCUAGCUUCACAAGCCAGCGGCCGAUGUGUUCAGGAGUGAGCUGUGUGGACAACGUGAAGUGGGCAGUGACAGCAGGAAACACACUGAGUCUGAGGGCCGCUGAGGAUUUACUGUUGGUCAUCUCCUGAGCAAAAGCUAUGAGUGGUACACCAUGGUGGUCCAUGAUAAAGGAAUAGUUGAGCGUUCCACAGUGUGGGCUGAUGUGAACACAUCCUGUAUGUCUUUGGUCUGCUUUGUUAAGUGAUUGAAGUUCAGUGUGUCCAACAUAUGGUGUUAAUAGUUUUUCGUUGUACCAUGUUCUGUUGUGUGUCUUGAUAGCUGUGGGAAAGUCCAGGUAUUGACUUAAUCCCAAUGUCUGCUGGUUGCUCAGGUGUACAAAGUGCUGAGUUCUUCUGUCUUGACUGUUAUCCAGGAUAGAGUCACUGAGGGCAAGGCACAGCCUGCUGUGUACAUUCUCUGAUAGUUCUCCGGGCGUGUCUGUAAGGGGUUGUCUACAUUGAGCUGAAAUCAGAAGACCUGCCCUGAAUGUAACGACCAUUGUUCCAGAGGCCUCCCAAAAGAGAAAGUGAACUGAGCAGCAGCAGUCAUAUCUUUGCAUCCUGACUGUGGAUGCUGUCUGACCAGCCACCUCAGGCUCCCGACACCACACCUGUCCCAUCAUACCAGAUCUUCCCUCAAGCCAUGAGCCGAAAUAAGCUGUUCUUUGAAUGGCUUCUGUCAGGUACGACAAGGACAACAUGCAUGGAAAGUUCUGUUUUUCUCUUCCAUCUGUAGACUCUUCUGUGCGUCUAUUCAUGUAGCCAGCACUUAAACUUGUUAAACAGCACUGUGGAUCAGACCAGUCCUGGGCACAGCACCGUGAGCAAGGCUUCCGUGCGUGGUCCCUGCCCUUUGAGUGUUCCAUAGGCGGAGGAGGAAGAACACUCACAACUACAGGGUUGGGCCAGCCCUCAUGUACUGCCACUAUAUCAAAGAAGCCUGGCUUCCUUUUCUCCUACCACAGGGUGAGACAAAUGCUCUGCAGAGCAGGAUCAUAACGAUUAUGGACUAAGAAUAUGGAGCGUGGGGAAACAGGGACAUUUCCGUUUCCUAUGUUCCUUAAGGUUUUGAAGAGUUCCUGAAAUCCUCCCAGUCUUUCUCACUGUGUAGCUAGUAGGCCAUAUUCUCUAGAAGGGCGGGCACACUGGGCACACUGGGAAGCAGGUGACUAUCAGGACCUGCCCAAUUCAGACUCUCCCCCCAAACAUUUAGAGGAUCCCCUGCCUCCUCGUCUAGGAGAGCAAAACCAGCUGAACUUUCUCCCACACAGUCUCUUGGUUUUGUUCUCUGAUACCCUCAUACUCGACUGCUGUGCCUCUGAGCUUGAGCAUAAUGUAAAUACUUAAUUUGUUUAAUAAAUAUCCUGAAAUGGC